GGAAGUUCGGAAGCCCCGCCCACAUUCUGUGGCGUUAGGAUGGGUGAGGAGAAAAUAGUUUUUCAUCACAGUUCUGAACCCUCGUACAGGCUUCUUUUACACGAACGGACAAACACAAAAGAAUAAAAUUAAACCCUUGGGAAAACCAACUCAACUAAAUGGCGAAAAGUUGCUGACCAGAAGAAUGCAAAAUUGAUUGCAACAUGUAAUUAAGUGGAGCAUUCUGGUAACUUCAUCCAGUUGUAUUUUAUCUCAACACAAACCCCAUAAGAUAAGCUUGCCCAUAAGAAUGGAAGCAAAGUAGAUUUUAUGUUGAAACAAACUUAAGGACCACAAGCAUCAGUAAAAAUAAUAAAACCACAAGGAUUGAAAAUCUUUGCAGUGCCUGAAACCCAAAGACAGCUUAUUUAUGAUAAACAAAAGUUGCUUUUGUGAUGAGGCCAAAGACCUUUCCAGCCACUUCAUAUACUGGAAACAGCCGUCAGAGACUGCAGGAAAUUCGGGAGGGGUUGAAACAACCUCAUAAACCUUCAGGCCAGGCUUUAAAUGUUGGCUCCAACAAUGAAACCCCGCUAGACCUGAAAGCCAUAGUUGCAAAGGAUGCUACCAGACAACAACAAAUGCGACCUGUCCCAAAAUUUGGGCCUCAUCAGAAAGCUCUCCGAGAAAUCAGAAACUCUCUGAUGCCAUUCGCAAAUGAGUCUGGUUCAUCUGCCAGUGUUGAAGUAAACAGACAAAUGCUACAAGAGUUGGUGAAUGCUGGAUGUGAUCAGGCAAGUCACCUAAAUAUUUUAAUAUUUUUGCUGUAUGUCAUUCAAUUUAUAAGUUUGUGUGUCUUCAAGGUUUUGAUUCCUGCUUGGAAAAAUACUGACCCCUAAAUUUUCACGAGGUCAGUUGCUUAUUAAUGGUGUAUAUUGGCUGUGUUUGCAGCAUUAAGAAUAAAAAGAACAGGACUCGGAAAUGCUAGAUCCCAGCCCAGAUUUUGAACUCCUAUCAGAGUCUACCUGGGUGGAACUCAGAAAUCACAAACCAUACUUGAUGCUGACAGAGGGGGCAUGGAUAGGAGGAAAUGAAUUCUGACACUAGUUUUGUCAAAGAUGUCCUGCCUUCUAUACGGUGAGGGUGAACCCAACAUAAAGGUCAACUGGAUGUUGAAUUGGUUGGGACAAGCAGGAUGUUGUCUGUCAUCACUUGGUACUACUUUGUGCUAUGUCCUGACUCUGUAUGAUUGUGAAAUUUGCACGUGUGGAUCCACUGCCACGCAGUGUUAUUCAUGUACUCAUUUGAUUUUCUUUACUCUUAAUUACUGCCUGCUGAGAGAAA